rnacentral:lncRNA from 1 species
AACUGUAAUCUCAGCAACUGGAAAAGCUGAGGCAGGAGGAUUCCAAGUUCAAGGCCAGGUUCAACAAUUUAGUGAGACCUUAUCUCAAAAUUAAAAAAUAUUACAGCAUCCCCAGCAUCAAUCUCGCACACGCGCGCGUGCGCACACACACACACACACAGGUUCAUAUCCAUAAUGUAAAGAAUAGGAGAUGAUACUACAGCAACAGCAUUUUGAAAAAUACAAGAUGGACAAGUGACAACUUAGUUUUCCAUUUACCUGGUAAGCCAAGAGCAAAAUGAACUUAGAAGCAAAACAAUUUCUAUCAUAGUAUCUGAGAAAGACUGAAACUCAACUUUCACAAGUAAAAUGCAAAUAAUUUGUAUGUAAAGGUGCUUUUCAAAUAGUAAAAAAAUUGCUGUGAGAGUGAGAGUAGUCUAUAGAGGAACCUUAUUACCUUGACAAACCAUCAUCCCAAGGAAUCGAUCAGCUAUUUCCUGAGGGAAACUCCAUUGCUCUGGAAAGCACAGUGUUCCAUCAGGUUUCUUAGAACACAAUUCUUCCAGAUUAGCAAUCAGGACAUUCAUGCAGAUGUUGGCCAAUGUAUAGGGUGAUGCCUCCUCCUAGCAAACAAAUUCCAAACCUUGUUAGAACACAUCUGCAAAUAUUCAGCAUAAAAGUUGUCAUGCCUACAUUCCUACUCUAAUAAUGAUUUAUAUGUAAUAGAACCACCUUGGGCUGGGGUUGUAGCUCAGUGGUAGAGCACUUGCCUUGAAGCAUUGUGUUGGAUCCUCAGCACCACGUUAAAUAAAUAAACAAAAUAAAGAUUAAAAAAAAUAUCACAAUUUCAGUGCAAUAUCUGGGAUUUUUCAAGCAGAGAUCACAUAAGUCAUUCCUUCAAGAUACAUUUUUUUUUUUUGUGUGUGUGUGUGUGUGUGGUGCUGGGGAUUAAACCCAUGGCCUUGUGCAUGCAAGGUAAACACUCUACCAACUGAGCUAAAUCCCCAGCCCCAAGGUACAUUUUUUUAAGUUAUUAUUCUGUGACAGAGGAUAAAAAGGCCUAUUCCCACUUUCAAAGAUGUUCACAACCAGGACUAGAGGAUUUACCUCAGUGGCAGAGCACUUGCAUGAGAUGCAUGAGGUUCUUGGUUCGACUACCAACAGAGCAAAAAAAAUUAAAUGUAUGGUGUGUGCCUAUUGUCCCAAAUACUUGGGUUACUGAGGUUGGUGGAUCACUUAAGCCCCUAAGUAGGAGACCAGUCUGGGCAACAUAGUGAGAUGCCAGUUUGAAAAAAAUAAAAAGCUAGACGCGGUAGCACACACCUGUAAUCCCAGUGGCUCAGGAGGCUGAGGCAGAAGGAUCCUGAGUUCAAAGCCAGCCUCACUAAAGGGGAGGUGCUAAGCAACUCAAUGAGAUCCUAUCUCUAAAUAAAAUACAAAAUAGGGCUGGGGAUGUG